UAGCGAAAUUCCUUGUCGGGUAAGUUCCGACCCGCACGAAAGGCGUAAUGAUUUGGGCACUGUCUCAACAACACACCCGGUGAAAUUGAAAUACCAGUGAAGAUGCUGGUUACCUGCGCCAGGACGGAAAGACCCCAUGGAGCUUUACUCCAGUUUGAUACUGGGAUUCGGUACUGUCUGUACAGGAUAGGUGGGAGGCUAGGAAAUGGUGACGCCAGUUGCCAUGGAGCCAACCUUGGGAUACCACCCUUACAGUACUGGGUUUCUAACCUGCAGCCGUAACCCGGCUGGGGGACAAUGUCUGACGGGGAGUUUGACUGGGGCGGUCGCCUCCGAAAGAGUAUCGGAGGCGCUCAAAGGUUCCCUCAGAACGGUUGGAAACCGUUCGAAGAGUGCAAAGGCAGAAGGGAGCUUGACUGCGACACCGACGGGUGGAGCAGGUACGAAAGUAGGACUUAGUGAUCCGGUGGUAUAAAGUGGGAUUGCCAUCGCUCAACGGAUAAAAGCUACCCUGGGGAUAACAGGCUUAUCACUCCCAAGAGUUCACAUCGACGGAGUGGUUUGGCACCUCGAUGUCGGCUCAUCGCAUCCUGGAGCUGUAGCAGGUUCCAAGGGUUGGGCUGUUCGCCCAUUAAAGCGGUACGCGAGCUGGGUUCAGAACGUCGUGAGACAGUUCGGUCCCUAUCCGGCGUGGGCGUAGGAUAUUUGAGAGGAGCUGUCCUUAGUACGAGAGGACCGGGAUGGACAAACCUCUGGUGUAUCUGUUGUUUUACCAAAGGCAUGGCAGAGUAGCCAAGUUUGGCAGGGAUAAACGCUGAAGGCAUCUAAGCGUGAAGCCCCCCUCAAGAUAAGAUAUCCCAUCUUCGGAGUAAGACCCCUUGAAGACUACAAGGUUGAUAGGCUUCAGGUGUAAGUGUGGUAACGCACUCAGCUGAGAAGUACUAAUAGGUCGAGGACUUAUCCUU
rnacentral:rRNA from 1 species